UACGUAGGUGGCAAGCGUUGUCCGGAAUUAUUGGGCGUAAAGCGCGCGCAGGUGGUUCCUUAAGUCUGAUGUGAAAGCCCACGGCCCAACCGUGGAGGGUCAUUGGAAACUGGGGAACUUGAGUGCAGAAGAGGAAAGUGGAAUUCCACAUGUAGUGGUGAAAUGCGUAGAGAUGUGGAGGAACACCAGUGGCGAAGGCGACUUUCUGGUCUGUAACUGACACUGAGGUGCGAAAGCGUGGGUAGCAAACAGG
rnacentral:misc_RNA from 1 species